rnacentral:tRNA from 1 species
GGUGUAGCUUUGGAAAAAGUGAUUUUGAACAUCACUAUAAAGAAGUUCAACUCUUCUAUACACCU